GGAGGAAGAGAAACCAACUGGGAUUCCCUUAGUAACGGCGAGCGAACAGGGAAGCGUCCAUCGCCGAACCCCACGUCGCUGCGGCGUCGGGAAUGUGGCGUUAGGGAGGGAGCGUUCGCGAGUUCCGAGCGUGCAGCAAGUCCCCUUGACUGGGGCUGUUUUCCAGGGAGGGUGUCAGGCCCGUGGUUGCCGCCUCGUGCUCGUGAAGCUGCCUCCCCAGAGUCGGGUUGCUUGGGAGUGCAGCCCCAAGAGGGUGGUAGACUCCAUCUAAGACUAAAUACGGCCGCGAGACCGAUAGCGAACAAGUACCGUGAGGGAAAGUUGAAAAGGACUUUGAAGAGAGAGUUCAAGAGUGCGUGAAACUGCUCGGAGGCAAACGGGUGGGCCCUCGAACGGUCCUCGCCCGAUGGUUCGGUCGGAGAGGCGCGAGCCCGUUGGCGAGGCGGGUUCCGUAAAGGACCCCUCCGCUUUCGUGGCGCUCGAGUCUUCCGGUGCAUUCCAUCCGGUAUGGACGUCGCAGCCGGUUGGGCGUGGUCAGCCUGAAGAGCGGGCUAGGCAGGUGGCAGUGGAGUCUCCCCGCUGUGUCUAGCCGGCUCGUUCGUGGCGUGAUCCCCGACCGAGGAUGACGUCUUCCUCUUUGGGAGAUUUGCCGUGCUCUCGCCUCUGCGAGCGGGAUUUCCCGCGGUGAGCGUACGCGGCUGGCGACAUCGGUCACCCACCUGACCCGUCUUGAAACACGGACCAAGGAGUCUAACAUGUGCGCGAGUCAGUGGGACUCGAACAAGCCCACGGGCAGAACGAAAGCGAUCGGUCGGGAUCCGCACUGCUCGCAGUGUGGCGCACCGACGGCCCGACGCCUGUAUAGGCGAUCGGAGCGUGAGCGUACACGUUGGGACCCGAAAGACGGUGAACUAUUCCCGGGUAGGAUGAAGCCGGGGGAAACUCCGGUGGAGGUCCGCAGCGGUUCUGACGUGCAAUUCGAUCGUCGAACCCGGGUAUAGGGGCGAAAGACUAAUCGAACCGUCUAGUAGCUGGUUCCCUCCGAAGUUUCCCGCAGGAUAGCUGGCGCUCGAGCAGUCGCGUCCGGUAAAGCGAAUGAUUAGAGGCCUCGGGGUCGAAACGUCCUCGACCUAUUCUCAAACUUUAAAUGGGCGAGACGCCGGGCUUUCGGACUCGAAGCCCGGUCACGGAUGAGAGUGCCCAGUGGGCCACUUUUGGUAAGCAGAACUGGCGCAGCGGGAUGAACCGGACGUCUGGCUAAGGCACCCGAUGCGACGCUCAUGAGAUUGAAAGGUGUUUAUCGCUUAAAACAUCGGGUAGGUGGCCAUGGAAGUCGGAAUCCUCUAAGGAGUGUGUAACAACUCACCCGCCGAAGCGAUAGGCCCUGAAAAUGGAAGGUGCUUAAGCGUCGGAGCCCACGCCAGACCGCUGCGGCAGACAGAGUUUAUGUCGCGGCGAGUAGGAGGGUCGCGGCGGAGGGCGUCGAAGGGGAGUGGCGCGAGCACCCCCGGAGCCUCCGCCGGCGCAGAUCUUGGUGGUAGUAGCAAAUACUCGAGUGAGAACCUCGAGGACCGAAGUGGAGAAGGGUUCCGCGCGAACGGCAUUCGGACGCGGGUGAGUCGGUCCUGAGGGAUAGGAGAAAUCCGUUCCGAUGCCGGGAAUCUCUCCCGGCCUGACCGAAAGGGAAAGGGGUUAAGAUUCCCCUACCCGGAUGCGGAGAUCGGGACCUCGCGUCCCUAACGCGGCGACGCAACCGAGCUCGGAUACGUCGACGGGAGUCCCGGGAAGAGUUGUCUUUUCUUCGCAAGGGUUCGAGUCCCUGGAAUCGGGUCGUCCGGAGAUAGGGUCGAAGUGCCCGAGAAGCGUCGCGUCUCUUGCGACGUCCGGUGCGCUCCCGUCGACCCUUGAAAAUCCGAGGGAGGAGUUGUGAUUUUCGCACCGGGCCGUACCCAUAUCCGCAGCAGGUCUCCGAGGUGAACAGCCUCUCGUCGACG
rnacentral:rRNA from 1 species